GGAAAUUUGACGGACUCUAGUAAGUUUAUCACAAUACAAGAUUAUUGUGGACAAGAGACAAAUUUCAGGUAGAGACACAGAGUGCUUGCUCAAUUUUGUUGGCCGUAAGCUGGAGGGUAGAGUUCCUAAAGGAAUUGGCAUCCUGCAAUUUCCACCCUUCAAUCGGAUCACAAACAAAUGACCCUUCGAUCUUACACCUCUUUUGAUCUCCUGCUCCGUCUCCACUGAUUGGCAAUACUUCGAAUGUGGCCGUAUACGAAUUAUAUCCCAUGUUAUUUUCAAUGAUCCCGUAGCUUAGAAACCGUUCAACAGUAUUUAUCAUGAUGAGUUUCUCUUUGGCCCAAUUGAUGAUGUUCCCACCUGUGCUGUCGGAGGAUGCUUGUGGCUUGAAAGCGCAGUAGCGGAUGAGGCCAGGCUUGCCUAGCUC
rnacentral:misc_RNA from 1 species